AUUGAACGCUGGCGGCAGGCCUAACACAUGCAAGUCGAACGGUAACAGGAAGAAGCUUGCUUCUUUGCUGACGAGUGGCGGACGGGUGAGUAAUGUCUGGGAAACUGCCUGAUGGAGGGGGAUAACUACUGGAAACGGUAGCUAAUACCGCAUAACGUCGCAAGACCAAAGAGGGGGACCUUCGGGCCUCUUGCCAUCGGAUGUGCCCAGAUGGGAUUAGCUAGUAGGUGGGGUAACGGCUCACCUAGGCGACGAUCCCUAGCUGGUCUGAGAGGAUGACCAGCCACACUGGAACUGAGACACGGUCCAGACUCCUACGGGAGGCAGCAGUGGGGAAUAUUGCACAAUGGGCGCAAGCCUGAUGCAGCCAUGCCGCGUGUAUGAAGAAGGCCUUCGGGUUGUAAAGUACUUUCAGCGGGGAGGAAGGGAAUAAAGUUAAUACCUUUACUCAUUGACGUUACCCGCAGAAGAAGCACCGGCUAACUCCGUG
rnacentral:rRNA from 1 species